UCCCCAUCUAUCUGAUUUCCUGCCUGUACAACAUCCAUUGCACGUCUGCCCGUCCUGGAUGACCCUCUCCACGUAGGCCCCCAGCACACUCCUUCAGCUGUGGCAGAACCACCAACAUGCCCCUCUCAUGGCAAUGCAGCGCCAUCUGGCCAGCCAGUACACACACAGACAGCACUGCACUCCAGACUAGGUCCCUGCUGCGCCCCCCAGGGACAGGGGGAAAGAAGUGCUCGUCCAGGAUGCUUAUGAGCAUGGGGCGGGCCGUGCUCUCCAUCACAUCUUGGAAGACACGAGGCCAGCGCUUGAAGAAUAUGGGGAAGCGAGUGAGGAGCUCAUCUCCAGCGUGACGCAGGGCUGCAGUGCAGGCUGUAGGGGCAGCACCCAUGGAGCCAUCUGCCCCUCCUGUGGUUACAUAUUCUAUGUAGUCAUGGGCCAUAAGAAAAGCCUCUCUCACAAGUGGGUCAGGACUGUUCAGGCCCAGUCUGACCUCUGGCACCUCAGACUGGCACAUGGUCCCCUCUUACUGCCACUUCACUAAUCACCAAGCGGUAGUCUCUUGCCAAGCACCAUACCCAUUCUCUAAGUCGCAUGAGCCUGUUAUGGUGGUGUGAGGAAGCUGGUACAGGAAAUAGUAGUAGUAUGAAAAAAAAAUCACAGUAUAGAAAAGAGAAAAAAUAAACAUGCAUACUACAGGAAAUAAUGUAUUUUCAACUCACCUUCUCCUAAAAGAGAAACACGAGUAGUACCAAAACACACCAUAUACCCAUAGAAAAGAAAGACUAGCGGGUGAAAGAGUGUGUGGAGGAGAGGAGCGUGUUUGUACUGUACGUUGCAUUCACACUGGGUCACCCAGUCCACUUGCCAUCUAAAUAUAGAGUCCUUGUUGGAAACUGACACUGGUCUUCAACCUCACAUGCAACAUGCUGGCCGUCCUGACACAGCCCCAUUUGAACACAAGAAUUGGAGGGUUAGACAAAUAACUAAAAGGACCUGCACACACAGGAGAAACAGGCUAAAGUCAAAGGCAAUGUAUAAUAUUGACAGGUGACAGCUUUCAGUGAGAUAUUGUUGAAGAAAUUCACUGAAGUCUAACUCAGAAGUUUGCUAUGGUGAAGUGAGUUUAAUAAAGUUUACUUGUAUACUGGUGAACUGGCCCACAGUAACUACAUUAAUAUUAUGCACAUACAAGGAAGGUUUUGUUUAUGAAUUAUAAGAAAUUCAUAUGAUUAUGACUUGAUGACUUCUGUUUCGUUGAAUUCAUUCUGUUUGUGUUUUGAGCACUGAGCUGAUAACAUAUUUCUAAUCUUACGUAGCAUGAGUCAGUCAAGGUUUUGAAAUGUCUGUCUCUGCCACAAGGCAAUGCCCUCAUUAGUCUGGAUAAUUCAUAGACCUUGUAGCAAACAGUUUUGCUGGGACUACUUUCUAACACUGAAAUAACAAUUUCUAACUCUAUUUUGUUGCUAGUAGAAAGUAGUUCCAAUGAAAACUUUACAAUGAAAAGUAUGUAAUCAACAUAUUUGCUCUUUUUAUUAAGGGGCUGUGGUAACUGAAUUUUGUGUACAACAUGAUUCGUUUUUCUUUUUUCCAUUAGUAUUGUACAGAGAGUUUUUGGAAAAGAAAGCUCACAGUAAUGUACAUUUUGAGUGAUUAUUUUAUAUGUGCUGUUUUUGUGAUAAUUAUUAUUGUUUUUGCAGCUUUGGAAUUCCAGGAUUUUUUUUUAAGCACUAGCCUAUAUGUAAAGACACAGAAGCAAAUGUUUGCAUUUCUGAUUCAUUCUUGUUACAUAUGCUUUAGUCUAGUCAAUAAAAUGAAAAGAUAUUA